rnacentral:rRNA from 1 species
UACAGAGGUCUCGAGCGUUGUUCGGAUUCAUUGGGCGUAAAGGGUGCGUAGGCGGCGUGGCAAGUCUGAUGUGAAAUCCCGGGGCUCAACCCCGGAACUGCAUUGGAUACUGCCAUGCUAGAGUACUGGAGAGGAGAUUGGAAUUUACGGUGUAGCAGUGAAAUGCGUAGAUAUCGUAAGGAAGACCAGUGGCGAAGGCGAAUCUCUGGGCAGUUACUGACGCUGAGGCACGAAGGCCAGGGGAGCAAACGGG